UGGGGAAUCUUGCUCAAUGGGCGAAAGCCUGAAGCAGCGACGCCGCGUGCGGGAAGAAGGCCUUCGGGUUGUAAACCGCUUUCAGGAGGGAAGAAGCGAAAGUGACGGUACCUCCAGAAGAAGGACCGGCCAACUACGUGCCAGCAGCCGCGGUAAUACGUAGGGUCCAAGCGUUGUCCGGAAUUAUUGGGCGUAAAGAGCUCGUAGGCGGUCCGCUAAGUCUGAUGUGAAAUCUCAGGGCUCAACCCUGAAAUCGCAUCCGAUACUGGCGGACUUGAGGCAGGUAGGGGAAGGUGGAAUUCCUGGUGUAGCGGUGAAAUGCGCAGAUAUCAGGAGGAACACCGGUGGCGAAGGCGGCCUUCUGGGCCUGUUCUGACGCUGAGGAGCGAAAGCGUGGGGAGCAAACAGG
rnacentral:rRNA from 1 species